rnacentral:lncRNA from 1 species
AGAGAGGGCAAGCACAGUAAUCACUGUAUGUGCCAUUCUACACAACCUCUGCAAGCGGAGGAACAUUCCACAGCCAGACGAUGAUGAUGAUGAUGGCGAUCAACAUGACAAGGAAUUUGGCCGUGUGGAACCGAGUGGACAGGCAUUUAGGGAUCACUUUGAAAACACAUUUUAGGUAAAUGUGUUUUCAAAGAGCACAGGUUGAGAAGAAGACAUGUAUCAGCCGGAUUAGCCCGUCACUGAAAUUAACCCUGCCACUGAAGAACCGGUUCCUGCCACUUCAAGGGUCCACGAACGCGCCUGCCACCCAUGCACCCCUGAGCCCCGAGAUGCGUCCGGACGGACAGUGCGGACAGAGACGGAACAAUAACCAGUCGCCAUUGAGGCGAGCUGAGAAGAAGCGAGACUACAGCCUCCCCCACACAUCUACUCUGCCACUAUCGGACACACAGAUAGCAGACAGCCCACAGACCUUGAAGAGAGACAACAGGCUUGGCGAGGAACGACCACCCCCCUCCUCUGCAUUAACUCAUCGACGAUGACCUCCAGCCUCAUCUCUCCUAUAGCUAUCUCUCCAGCCCCAAUGUCUCCUCCCUUUGCGAUUUUCCAGCCGAAUAUAAGAGACUGGAAUAUGUUGGCAGCAAACUUAUAUCUGUGUCAUCGAUAGCAUCGCCAUGUCAUGGCGACAGGCUGAUAACACCCAAGAGGAUGGCGCCCCAGCCCCCCCCCCUAUACUGAUAGUAGUCCUGAGUAUUACUGAGACAAAAAAGGGUUCAGCCGUAGACACAGUAUAAAGGAAGUUUCACAUAAUCUGCUGAACCCAAGGUUGCCUACGUCAAAGCAGGGCAACUUUCGCAUUCAUGCUGUAACCACUGAGAGUAAACAAAGGGAAACUUAGACACACUGCUAACCUCACAAAUCUCAUAUCUAUUGCCUCCAAACCAAAAACAACCUUAAAGCCUAUCAACAACACCAUCAGGAUGGCUCUACUUAAUGUGAGGUUUCUUAAUAACAAAUCAUUUUUAGUUAAUGAUUUUAUUACCACUUCUAAACUGGAUUUUAUGUUUUUAACUGAAACAUGGCUGGAACAAAUUAACAGUGCAACCGU